UACAGAGGGCUCAAGCGUUGUUCGGAUUCAUUGGGCGUAAAGGGCGCGUAGGUGGCGCGCUAAGUCGGGUGUGAAAUUUCGGAGCUUAACUCCGAAACUGCAUUCGAUACUGGCGUGCUUGAGGACUGGAGAGGAGACUGGAAUUCAUGGUGUAGCAGUGAAAUGCGUAGAGAUCAUGAGGAAGACCAGUGGCGAAGGCGGGUCUCUGGACAGUUCCUGACACUGAGGCACGAAGGCCAGGGGAGCAAACGGG
rnacentral:rRNA from 1 species